UUUUCCGACGUGGGUCUCGGUCGACCGUCCUUUUUGUCGUCAUCGCACACGGCGUUUCCGGCUGCCAUCAGGUCUCGCACACGACGGUCUUGUAUUUUUUCUGACUCUCGCACGCAAUAUCAUGUACAGGUAUAUUCCGUUUUAUCCGACCGCGGAAAACGGUCUACGAGUCCAUCGUUAUAGAAACGUAAUCUCCUCCGUUCGCCUGCGCGGACACGUGCUUCAACAAUGUACACUUCCGGUGUCGGGAGAAGGCCUCCGGGACGACCGCGGUUCGGGUGACAGGAGGGCCGUGUUCGGACAGACAAGUUGCUCAUAACGAUUUCGUUUUUCUCGGCCCGGGCCGUAGGCGCGAGCAGGGAAGUGCGGUACGAGAAUGCCUAGCCCAUCCAGUAUUCGAA